rfam:Lupinus angustifolius cultivar Tanjil contig_46391, whole genome shotgun sequence.
GGAGGUAUGAUUGUGUGGCUUAAGACAUUAGUUUGCUAAAUUGACAUUCAAGAAGAUUGUAUCAUGGGCUCGAUUCCCAUUUCCUCUG